ensembl:lncRNA
AUGACAAGUUUCUUUCUGUUUCUGUCUGCUGGAGGAAGUGGGAGGAGUCAGAUGAUGGAGGAGGCGGAGCCGAGCGGAGGCGUCAUAGAGGAGGAGACUCCUCCGCAGGACACAAACACAAACUACAACCACGCGGACGGCGACGCCGCUUCCUGUCCAGCUGUGGAAGGCGUCCCAGCGCCGCCGCCGAAAAGAGGACCCGUGGUGGUCCGAGCAAACAACAAGAACCCGGCCAGCGAGAACCUGGAGAGAGUCCGCCAGUGGAGCGUUGCCACCUACAAGUGCACCCGCCAGGCCGUGUCGGAGAGGCUGGGCCGGGGGUCCCGCACGGUGGACCUGGACCUGGAGCCCCGCCUCGAGCUGCUCAAAGACGACCGGCAGCGCUACGACAGCGUGACCAAGCUGGCCCAGACGCUGGCCAAUCAGCUCGCUCAGUUCUCCGUUACCCAGAAGACGCUGGGGGACGCCUUCGCCGAGCUCAGCCUCAAGACGCCGCCGCUGCACGUGGAGUUCACCGCGAACGCGGACGCUCAGAAGUUCCUAUCGAAGAGCGGCGAGACUCUGACGGCGUCCCUCAACGCCUUCACGUGUGACAUGAGCACUCUGAUCAACAAGACCAUCGAGGACACCAUGAUCGACGCCAGGCGCUACGAGGCCGCCAGGGUGGAGUACGACGCCUACCGGGUGGACCUGGAGGAGCUGAACCUCGGGCCGCGGGACGCCCUCACCCUGCCCCGACUGGAGCGCGCCCAGAAGGACUUCCAGAGCCAGAGGGAGCGGUACCAGAGGGCCCGAGACGACCUGUCCGUCAAAGUCCGGCUGCUGCAGGAGAACAAGGUCAAAGUCCUCCACCAGCAGCUGUGGCUGCUCCACGCCGCCGUGGCCGCUCACGCCUCCUCCUGCCACGCCUUCCUGGAGCAGAGCGCCGCGGCCCUGGGAGACCCCGACUGCCCCCCCCCCUCCUGGCUGGAGGAGAGCUGAUGUCUUGGGUGCUCCUUGGGAGAGGGAGGUGGGUUUAUCUACGGGGGGUUAGAGAGACGUUGAACACAUUCUGGGUCUUAUUUUCACCUUUUGAUGUGAUAUUUAGGACAAUAAUGAUCUCUAAUUAACACACACACACAGACACACACACACACACACACAGACACACACACACACACAGACACACACACACACACUGUCUUAGUAAAUCCAUAAUCCUCCAUUAAGGCACUAAGCCUUUCUUUUAACUCCUCAGCCUCUGCACUCCGAGACUCCCACAUCUCCUCCUCCUCCUCCUCCUCCUCAGCUCCUUCACACAUCUCCUCCCCCUCCUCCUCAGCUCCUUCACACAUCUCCUCCUCCUCAGCUCCUUCACACAUCUCCUCCUCAGCUCCUUCACACAUCUCCUCCUCCUCGGUGUGAUGUAUAAAACACUUUGUGUCUUCGGGAUCAUUUCCUUCUCUUCUUUUAUCUGUGACGUGGGCGACAUGAUCCUCUAAACUGCAACUGUCACUUUAUCCCGAACACAAGCGGGUGGAGCGCUGGACCACGUGUUUGUGUUCGGCCCGAAUCGACGCGCCGCCUCCUGCGUGUUCUUAUUCCCUUCUGACGGAGACCGUCACAGGGUGGACAGAAUAACAGAAACACCGUUGCUCUCUGGACAUUAUUAAUCUGUAGUUGACCUUCGUCUCCUUGUGUUAAAAUGUACGACUCUGUUUGGUGUCGACGAAGCUCAGAUGUGAGCACAACUAUGCAAGGAAUCUGUGCCGUUGGUGCAAUAAUGUCUCCUAACCCUCUUUAAAAUGAACGAUGACAUCAUGCUCGUACCAAACAUUUAACAGAACCCCAGUCCUAACCUCGUUCAUCUUCUAACAGACCAAAAGACAAUCGAAGUUAAAAGACAGCGUUUCUUUCUUUUUAAGUAAAAGUGACAAAAAAGGACCAAAAUGUACUUAGUGUUUUAAUAUUUAUGGGAAUGUUUUGUGUGUAACUGCCAAAUAAAAUGAUAUGAAAGCAAAUCUCA